rnacentral:tRNA from 1 species
GGUGGCUCAGUGGUAGAGCGCUUGCCUUGCGUGCAUGAGGCCCUGGAUUCAAUUCUUCAGCACCA